AUUGAACGCUGGCGGCAUGCCUUACACAUGCAAGUCGAACGGCAGCACGGGAGCAAUCCUGGUGGCGAGUGGCGAACGGGUGAGUAAUAUAUCGGAACGUGCCCAGUAGUGGGGGAUAACUGCUCGAAAGAGCAGCUAAUACCGCAUACGACCUGAGGGUGAAAGGGGGGGAUCGCAAGACCUCUCGCUAUUGGAGCGGCCGAUAUCAGAUUAGCUAGUUGGUGGUAAAGGCCUACCAAGGCAACGAUCCGUAGUUGGUCUGAGAGGACGACCAGCCACACUGGGACUGAGACACGGCCCAGACUCCUACGGGAGGCAGCAGUGGGGAAUUUUGGACAAUGGGCGCAAGCCUGAUCCAGCAAUGCCGCGUGCAGGAAGAAGGCCUUCGGGUUGUAAACUGCUUUUGUCAGGGAAGAAAUCCUCUAGGUUAAUACCCUUGGGGGGAUGACGGUACCUGAAGAAUAAGCACCGGCUAACUACGUGCCAGCCGCCGCCGUAACAC
rnacentral:rRNA from 1 species